GACGAACGCUGGCGGCGUGUUAACACAUGCAAGUCGAACGGAAAGGCCCUGCUUUUGUGGGGUGCCCGAGUGGCGAACGGGUGAGUAACACGUGAGUAACCUGCCCUUGACUUUGGGAUAACUUCAGGAAACUGGGGCUAAUACCGGAUAGGAGCUCCUGCUGCAUGGUGGGGGUUGGAAAGUUUCGGCGGUUGGGGAUGGACUCGCGGCUUAUCAGCUUGUUGGUGGGGUAGUGGCUUACCAAGGCUUUGACGGGUAGCCGGCCUGAGAGGGUGACCGGCCACAUUGGGACUGAGAUACGGCCCAGACUCCUACGGGAGGCAGCAGUGGGGAAUAUUGCACAAUGGGCGGAAGCCUGAUGCAGCAACGCCGCGUGCGGGAUGACGGCCUUCGGGUUGUAAACCGCUUUCGCCUGUGACGAAGCGUGAGUGACGGUAAUGGGUAAAGAAGCACCGGCUAACUACGUG
rnacentral:rRNA from 1 species